GGGGAAUAUUGGACAAUGGGCGAAAGCCUGAUCCAGCCAUUCCGCGUGUGUGAAGAAGGUCUUCGGAUUGUAAAGCACUUUAAGUUGGGAGGAAGGGCAGUAAGUUAAUACCUUGCUGUUUUGACGUUACCAACAGAAUAAGCACCGGCUAACUUCGUGCCAGCAACCGCGGUAAUACGAAGGGUGCAAGCGUUAAUCGGAAUUACUGGGCGUAAAGCGCGCGUAGGUGGUUCGUUAAGUUGGAUGUGAAAGCCCCGGGCUCAACCUGGGAACUGCAUCCAAAACUGGCGAGCUAGAGUAUGGCAGAGGGUGGUGGAAUUUCCUGUGUAGCGGUGAAAUGCGUAGAUAUAGGAAGGAACACCAGUGGCGAAGGCGGCCCCCUGGACGAAGACUGACGCUCAGGCACGAAAGCGUGGGGAGCAAACA
rnacentral:rRNA from 1 species